GACGAACGCUGGCGGCGUGCCUAAUACAUGCAAGUAGAACGCUGAAGGAGGAGCUUGCUCUUCUGGAUGAGUUGCGAACGGGUGAGUAACGCGUAGGUAACCUGCCUGGUAGCGGGGGAUAACUAUUGGAAACGAUAGCUAAUACCGCAUAAGAGUAGAUGUUGCAUGACAUUUACUUAAAAGGUGCAAUUGCAUCACUACCAGAUGGACCUGCGUUGUAUUAGCUAGUUGGUGGGGUAACGGCCUACCAAGGCGACGAUACAUAGCCGACCUGAGAGGGUGAUCGGCCACACUGGGACUGAGACACGGCCCAGACUCCUACGGGAGGCAGCAGUAGGGAAUCUUCGGCAAUAGACGGAAGUCUGACCGAGCAACGCCGCGUGAGUGAAGAAGGGUUUCGGAUCGUAAAGCUCUGUUGUAAGAGAAGAACGAGUGUGAGAGUGGAAAGUUCACACUGUGACGGUAUCUUACCAGAAAGGGACGGCUAACUACGUG
rnacentral:rRNA from 1 species